GGCUUCUGUUACUUUUGUAAUAAAAGUCUAAUUGAAUUUACAAACUCUGGUAUCUGAGAAGUAUUUGAUUAAACAUUUUCCACAACAUUAGCGGGUUUUCUGUUGUGCAGUAAGCACACAUGAUGUGAUUUGGCCACCUAUAGACUGGGUGAAGUAAAAGGCCAGCAACACCGUAUUAUUCAGAGCCCAAUGAAAUGACACCACAUAUACAUAUCUAGUCUGCAUAACGCAUUAUAGACUUAUUUGUCGAUCUGUAAUGCUAGCUAGCUGUGCAGCCUGUUUGCAAUGGGCAGCAAGCUAGCUAGAUAUUUCUAGCUAGUAGUGCUGGAGAGACAUUAUCCAAAUAGAAGUUAAAUAUUAGCAGUGGUGAAGGAUCUGUUAUCCAGCCAGCUCAAACUUUACUUCAGGACUUCAGUCAGUCUGCUGUCUGCAGGUCAUACAAGCCAACAUAAAAUAUCAAUAGCAUCUACCCGACCUCUUAGCUGAAUGGUUAUUGACACGUUUCUACUAUAAGUUGUGGGACGUUUAUUUUGAAAAUGUAUGAAAUUUCGUGACCUGGAAGCACUUUUUUAGUGUUGCUGAUGAGUCACUGAUCAUGUGAGGAGUUCACAAAUCACAGGCCCCACUUGUAGUGCCACUGGACAGCAAAAAACAGGUUGGAACCAACAUUCAGUGCCUCCAGUAGGAAGAGAGGCUAGAACCAUGUGUCUGCCAGCACAGGGACAAGCUAACCUAUUCACAGUCCUGUGUAAUGUUCAAUGUAAUUUUAUUGCCAGACUUUUUGAAACAUUUUGAAACUAUUUGUAUUGUUUUAACAAUGUACAAAUAAAAGGAAAUGUAUGGUUUAAA